rnacentral:rRNA from 1 species
AUUGAACGCUGGCGGCAUGCCUUACACAUGCAAGUCGAACGGCAGCACGGGAGCAAUCCUGGUGGCGAGUGGCGAACGGGUGAGUAAAGUAUCGGAACGUGCCCAGUCGUGGGGGAUAACGUAGCGAAAGUUACGCUAAUACCGCAUACGAUCUAUGGAUGAAAGCGGGGGAUCGCAAGACCUCGCGCGAUUGGAGCGGCCGAUAUCAGAUUAGGUAGUUGGUGGGGUAAAGGCUCACCAAGCCGACGAUCUGUAGCUGGUCUGAGAGGACGACCAGCCACACUGGGACUGAGACACGGCCCGGAUUCCUACGGGUGGCAGCAGUGGGGAAUUUUGGACGAUGGGCGAAAGCCUGAUCCAGCCAUGCCGCGUGCAGGAUGAAGGCCUUCGGGUUGUAAACUGCUUUUGUACGGAACGAAAAGGUUUGGCCUAAUAAGCUGAGCUCAUGACGGUACCGUAAGAAUAAGCACCGGCUAACUACGUGCCAGCAGCCGCCGUAA